CAUGGCUCAGGAUGAACGCUAGCUACAGGCUUAACACAUGCAAGUCGAGGGGCAGCAUUAUCGAAGCUUGCUUUGAUAGAUGGCGACCGGCGCACGGGUGAGUAACGCGUACUCCAACCUUCCCCAUAGUAGGGCAUAGCCCGUAGAAAUGCGGAUUAAUACCCUAUGUAUUCCGAGGAUGACAUCUGAUUCGGAACAAAGGUUCACCGCUAUGGGAUGGGGAUGCGUCUGAUUAGGUAGUAGGGCGGGGUAACGGCCCACUUAGCCGACGAUCAGUAGGGGUUCUGAGAGGAAGGUCCCCCACAUUGGAACUGAGACACGGUCCAAACUCCUACGGGAGGCAGCAGUGAGGAAUAUUGGUCAAUGGGCGCGAGCCUGAACCAGCCAAGUAGCGUGCAGGAAUGACUGCCCUAUGGGUUGUAAACUGUCUUUUAUCAGGGAAUAAAGUGAGGCACGUGUGCCUUUUUGUAUGUACCUGAUGAAUAAGGACCGGCUAAUUCCGUGCCAGCCGCCGC
rnacentral:rRNA from 1 species